rnacentral:rRNA from 1 species
UACGGAGGGUGCAAGCGUUGUUCGGAUUUAUUGGGCGUAAAGCGCGUGUAGGCGGUUUCUUAAGUCUGAUGUGAAAGCCCUGGGCUCAACCCAGGAAGUGCAUUGGAUACUAGGAGACUUGAAUACGGGAGAGGGUAGUGGAAUUCCUAGUGUAGGAGUGAAAUCCGUAGAUAUUAGGAGGAACACCGGUGGCGAAGGCGGCUACCUGGACCGAUAUUGACGCUGAGACGCGAAAGCGUGGGGAGCAAACAGG